GGCCUAGUAGUUCAAUUGGAUAGAAUAUCAGAUUUCGGCUCUGAGGGUUGGGGGUUCGAGUCCUCCCUAGGUCA
rnacentral:tRNA from 1 species